rnacentral:rRNA from 1 species
CCUACGGGGGGCUGCAGUGGGGGAUAUUGCACAAUGGAGGAAACUCUGAUGCAGCAACGCCGCGUGAGGGAAGAAGGUCUUCGGAUUGUAAACCUCUGUCGGAAGGGAAGAACGGUUCAGGUGUUAAUACCAUCUGGAUUUGACGGUACCUUCAAAGGAAGCACCGGCUAACUCCGUGCCAGCAGCCGCGGUAAUACGGAGGGUGCGAGCGUUAAUCGGAAUUACUGGGCGUAAAGGGCACGUAGGCGGCCCUGCAAGUCAGUUGUGAAAGCCCACGGCUCAACCGUGGAUGUGCAAUUGAAACUGCAGGGCUUGAGUACCGGCGGGGAAGAUGGAAUUCCCGGUGUAGAGGUGAAAUUCGUAGAUAUCGGGAGGAAUACCGGUGGCGAAGGCGAUCUUCUGGACGGAUACUGACGCUGAGGCGCGAAAGCGUGGGGAGCAAGCAGGAUUAGAUACCCCUGUAGUC